UAAAAAAUUUUGGCGGUAUUUUAAGCUUAUUAGAGGAAUUUGCUCUGUGAUGGACACAACGCCUUAAUCUUACUUAAUUUAGUAAUUUAAAUCAGUUUGUAUACCACUAUAUUAAUUAUAUUGAAUAGUUAUAUUUAAAAUUUUUUAAAAAAAAUAUAUUAAGUCAAGGUGCAUCUAAUAAUUAUGAAUGAAGUGAAUUACAUUAAUUUUAAUGUAAUUUUUUACAUGAAAAAAUUAAUUAGGAUUUAAUAGUAAAAUACUAAUAUUAUGAGUAUUUGAAUCAAGCUCUAAAAUAUGCACAUAUCGCCCGUCGCUCUCAGAAGUGAGAUAAGUCGUAACAAAGUAAAAAUACUGGAAAGUGUUUUU
rnacentral:rRNA from 1 species